CACCAAAGCACCACACACUCAUGCCUUCCCUUACCCAGAAGAAACAGUAGGAACAGAAAAAGUCUGAAACACUGAAACCCAAAAGCUUCAACAAUCAAGGAAGUAAAAAAGAGAAUCGCUUUAUGCAACCCCAGAAAUCCAUCCUUUAAUUAAACUCUCUCAAAUGCAUAUAAACUAAAUUCACAAACACCAUUCUAAGUCUCAACUUCCAUAACCCGAAAGGCAAUACAAAGCCAUGUCUUUGAGCCCACCUCGAACGAGAUCCAAUGGCUUCCCCAACUCAUUCGGCCUCUAUUGGUGCUAUCGGUGCCAUCGGACGGUCAGGAUUGCGGCAUCAAACCCAUCUGAAAUUGCUUGCCCUCGAUGUUUCGGGCAUUUCCUUAGUGAGAUUGAGAUAGGCAGACCGAGAUUGGUUGUUGAUUUCACGGCUUUUGACCCUUCACCUGAAGCUCGCUUGCUCGAAGCCCUCUCUCUGUUUCUUGACCCGCCAAUCAGACGUUCAAACGAAGAUAUUGACGUCCCAAUCACAUCCGAAGGUCCCGAACCCACUCGCCGCCCUUUUUUAUUUUCCCGCCGCCGCAACGAGCUGGGCCUUAACGGCAAUUUUCCUGUCCGGAGGCGGCGAGGCCGGAGUAAUGAAGACGAACCCGGAAUCCAAUCCAGGCCGAGGACAUGGAUAAUCCUUAGACCCGUGGAUCCUAACAACCCGGAUGAUCGAAUUACCCGACCCGAGAAUCCAGUUCCACAGGGGGUUGAUCCGAGAAAUUACUUUCUCGGGCCGGGAUUAAACGAACUGAUCGAGCAAUUGACCCAAAAUGACAGACCGGGGCUGCCACCGGCGCCUGAAUGGGCGAUUGAGGCGAUACCGACGGUGAAAAUCAGAGAAGACCAUCUAGUAAAUGAUUCGAAUUGUCCGGUGUGUCAGGAAGAGUUCAAGGUCGGUGGAGAAGCAAAGGAAUUGCCAUGUAAACAUAUAUACCAUAAUGACUGCAUUGCUCCAUGGUUAAGGCUUCAUAAUUCGUGUCCGGUUUGUCGGCAAGAGUUGCCUGUGAGGAGCCAAAAUAGCAGUAAUCAAGAGGAUGAUGGUGCAGAGGCAAGGAACAGGAGAUGCUCGAGGCUGAGGCAAAUGGUGUCGAAUAUGUGGCCGUUUCGGGCUCGGGAUCGCCGGAUCACCCCAAAUGAUGAUGCUGGGUCCUCUUCUCAUGGAGCUGACUCACGGUGGCCCUCUUGCAGUAUUCUUUAGCUCUCAGUCUCUCAAUAGGUUGCGCUAGCUGUGUCUCGAUAUAUUUAACAGAGGAAAGGGACACCAGAUGCAAAAAACCAAGAGAUGCUGGUUAGAGCUUGCUGUGCUUCAUGUAAUCAUGUGUAUGGAAUUAUGGAUCCAAUCGUGUAUAAGACCAGCUCACUCUUCUGGCGAUCCCAUCAAAUUUAUGUAAAAGACCUUCUAUUAUUGAUGUUAUUUACAUGGCUAAUUAACAAGCUGUGCAUCUUCAGAUCUUCUGUAAUAGCAUUUGAACCUUCAUAAGAAUGUUGCAUAUAUAUA